AGAGUUUGAUCCCGGCUCAGAAUCAACGCUGGCGGCGCGCUUAACACAUGCAAGUCGCACGAGAAAGUGGAGCAAUCCAUGAGUAAAGUGGCGUACGGGCGAGUAACACGUGGAUCAUCUACCUUUUAGUGGGGAAUACCCCCGGGAAACUGGGGACAAUACCGCAUAAGCUCGAGAGAGGUAAGCCGAAAGGCGCUGAAAGAGGAGUCCGCGGCUGAUUAGCUAGAUGGCGGGGUAACGGCCCACCAUGGCAAAGAUCGGUAGCCGGCCUGAGAGGGCACACGGCCACACUGGCACUGAAACACGGGCCAGACUCCUACGGGAGGCAGCAGUGGGGAAUCUUGCACAAUGGGGGAAACCCUGAUGCAGCGACGCCGCGUGAGCGAUGAAGCCCUUCGGGGUGUAAAGCUCUUUCGACGGGAACGAUAAUGACGGUACCCGGAGAAGAAGCUGCGGUUAACUACGUGCCAGCAGCCGCGGUAAUACGUAGGCAGCAAGCGUUGUUCGGAAUUACUGGGCGUAAAGAGUGUGUAGGCGGUGCUCUAAGUCUGUCGUGAAAUCUCCCGGCUUAACUGGGAGGGUGCGGCGGAAACUGGAGUGCUAGAGGGUGGGAGAGGUAAGCGGAAUUCCUGGUGUAGCGGUGAAAUGCGUAGAUAUCAGGAGGAACACCUGUGGUGUAGACAGCUUACUGGACCACUUCUGACGCUGAGACACGAAAGCGUGGGUAGCAAACAGGAUUAGAUACCCUGGUAGUCCACGCCCUAAACGAUGCAUACUUGGUGUGAGCGAUUCAUUUCGUUCGUGCCGAAGCUAACGCGUUAAGUAUGCCGCCUGGGGAGUACGGUCGCAAGGCUGAAACUCAAAGGAAUUGACGGGGGCCCGCACAAGCGGUGGAGCAUGUGGUUCAAUUCGACGCAACGCGAAGAACCUUACCUGGGCUCGAACGGCUUAAGAUCAUCCUUGGAAACAGGGACUUCUCGCAAGAGACUUGAGUCGAGGUGCUGCAUGGCUGUCGUCAGCUCGUGUCGUGAGAUGUUGGGUUAAGUCCCGCAACGAGCGCAACCCUUGUCCUGUGUUGCCAUCAUUAAGUUGGGAACUCUCAGGAGACCGCCAGCGAUAAGUUGGAGGAAGGUGGGGAUGAUGUCAAGUCAUCAUGGCCUUUAUGCCCAGGGCUACACACGUGCUACAAUGGGCGGUACAAGGCGCUGCAAACCCGCGAGGGGGAGCUAAUCGCAAAAAACCGUCCUCAGUUCGGAUCGCAGGCUGCAACUCGCCUGCGUGAAGCUGGAAUCGCUAGUAAUGGCGCAUCAGAACGGCGCCGUGAAUACGUUCCCGGGCCUUGUACACACCGCCCGUCACAUCACGAAAGUGGAUUGUACUAGAAGUCCCAAUUUAACGGGCCCAAGGUAUGAUUCAUGAUUGGGGUGAAGUCGAAACAAGGUA
rnacentral:rRNA from 1 species